UACGUAGGGCGCGAGCGUUAUCCGGAAUUAUUGGGCGUAAAGAGCUCGUAGGCGGUUUGUCACGUCUGCUGUGAAAACUGGAGGCUCAACCUCCAGCCUGCAGUGGGUACGGGCGGACUAGAGUGCGGUAGGGGAGAUUGGAAUUCCUGGUGUAGCGGUGGAAUGCGCAGAUAUCAGGAGGAACACCGAUGGCGAAGGCAGAUCUCUGGGCCGUAACUGACGCUGAGGAGCGAAAGCAUGGGGAGCGAACAGG
rnacentral:rRNA from 1 species